UACGUAGGGUGCAAGCGUUAAUCGGAAUACUGGGCGUAAAGCGUGCGCAGGCGGUUGUGUAAGACAGAUGUGAAAUCCCCGGGCUCAACCUGGGAACUGCAUUUGUGACUGCACAGCUGGAGUGCGGCAGAGGGGGAUGGAAUUCCGCGUGUAGCAGUGAAAUGCGUAGAUAUGCGGAGGAACACCGAUGGCGAAGGCAAUCCCCUGGGCCUGCACUGACGCUCAUGCACGAAAGCGUGGGGAGCAAACAGG
rnacentral:rRNA from 1 species